rnacentral:rRNA from 1 species
AUGGAAAAUAAGGCUAAGAGAAAACUUGAAGUCACUAAUAUAUGUGUUUUAUGGGGGAUGGAAUCCGAGGAUACAUACCACGCAAUGUGUAGGUGCCCGCUCGCGCGUAUGUUGUGGGAAGAAAUGGCGGCCACCUUCAGCAUGCCAUGCCUUGACAACAUCACCAAUUCGGGUACUGAAUGGGCGUUGUUACUUUUGAAUGAUUGCCCAAAAGAGCAGCGGCUGCCGGUGCUCAUGACAUUUUGGCGAAACUGGUAUGUUCGGAAUGAAGUUGUCCAUCACAAACCGGCUCCCACCAUUGAAGCAUCUCGCAGGUUUUUAUGCAGCUAUAUCGACAGCCUCCGACGCAUUGAGCAGCACCCCUAUGACGACAUCACGAAGGGGAAAAUGGCGGUCUCCCUGGAACCGCGUAGGAGCCACACUAAGGCGGCCGCCACGCCCGCAUCCUGCUCACGGCCGCCGGAACGAUGGACGAAGCCCCCGGUGGGAUGGAACAAGCUGAACGUUGAUGGUGCUUAG